rnacentral:rRNA from 1 species
UGCGUAGGCGGCUGAGUAAGUCGCGUGUGAAAGCCCGGGGCUCAACCCCGGAGCUGCAUGCGAGACUGCCUGGCUCGAGCACGGUAGAGGCGGGCGGAAUUCCUGGUGUAGCGGUGGAAUGCGUAGAUAUCAGGAAGAACACCGGUGGCGAAGGCGGCUCGCUGGGCCGUUGCUGACGCUGAGGCACGAAAGCGUGGGGAGCAAACAGGAUUAGAUACCCUGGUAGUCCACGCCCUAAACGAUGGACACUAGGCGUCGGGGGGAGCGACCCUCCCGGUGCCGUCGCUAACGCAACAAGUGUCCCGCCUGGGGAGUACGGCCGCAAGGCUGAA